AUCAUACCAAUAUGAUUGAUUUUUGUUUGUCUAUAUUGUGCUAACCUUUUGUUUUGUAGGCUUGACCCAUGUGCCCGAGUCUUAUGCUUUGCUCAGUUGAUCCCCUGUGUUGACUGUUUGCCAUUUCUUUUUGAUUUAAACUUUUGAACUGUUUGCUGAUUGUUUUGACUUUUUCAGGUACUUUAGUUGCUUAAGUUCUCUGAACUUGCUUGCUUUGCUAUUUAGCAUUUGCUUU
rnacentral:lncRNA from 1 species